GACGGAGGGUGCAAGCGUUGUUCGGAAUUACUGGGCGUAAAGCGCGGGCAGGUGGUCUGUUGCGUCGGCUGUGAAAACCCGAGGCUCAACCUCGGGCCUGCAGCCGAUACGGGCAGACUAGAGUUCGGCAGGGGAGACUGGAAUUCCUGGUGUAGCGGUGAAAUGCGCAGAUAUCAGGAGGAACACCGGUGGCGAAGGCGGGUCUCUGGGCCGAUACUGACACUGAGGAGCGAAAGCGUGGGGAGCGAACAGG
rnacentral:rRNA from 1 species